rnacentral:rRNA from 1 species
UACGUAGGGGCUAGCGUUGUCCGGAAUCAUUGGGCGUAAAGAGCGUGUAGGCGGUCCGGUAAGUCCGCUGUGAAAGUCGGGGGCUCAACCCUCGAAUGCCGGUGGAUACUGUCGGGCUAGAGUGCGGAAGAGGCGAGUGGAAUUCCUGGUGUAGCGGUGAAAUGCGCAGAUAUCAGGAGGAACACCUAUUGCGAAGGCAGCUCGCUGGGACGUAACUGACGCUGAGACGCGAAAGCGUGGGAGCAAACAGG